rnacentral:rRNA from 1 species
GAUGAACGCUGGCGGCGUGCCUAACACAUGCAAGUCGAGCGAUUCUCUUCGGAGAAGAGCGGCGGACGGGUGAGUAACGCGUGGGUAACCUGCCCUGUACACACGGGAUAACAUACCGAAAGGUAUGCUAAUACGAGAUGAUAUGCUUUUAUCGCAUGGUAGAAGUAUCAAAGCUUUUGCGGUACAGGAUGGACCCGCGUCUGAUUAGCUAGUUGGUAAGGUAACGGCUUACCAAGGCGACGAUCAGUAGCCGACCUGAGAGGGUGAUCGGCCACAUUGGAACUGAGACACGGUCCAAACUCCUACGGGAGGCAGCAGUGGGGAAUAUUGCACAAUGGGCGAAAGCCUGAUGCAGCAACGCCGCGUGAGCGAUGAAGGCCUUCGGGUCGUAAAGCUCUGUCCUCAAGGAAGAUAAUGACGGUACUUGAGGAGGAAGCCCCGGCUAACUACGUG